UACGGGGGGUGCGAGCGUUAAUCGGAUUUACUGGGCGUAAAGCGUGCGUAGGCGGCUGAUUAAGUCGGAUGUGGAAUCCCUGAGCUUAACUUAGGAACUGCAUUCGAUACUGGUCAGCUAGAGUAUGGGAGAGGAUGGUAGAAUUCCAGGUGUAGCGGUGAAAUGCGUAGAGAUCUGGAGGAAUACCGAUGGCGAAGGCAGCCAUCUGGCCUAAUACUGACGCUGAGGUACGAAAGCAUGGGGAGCAAACAGG
rnacentral:rRNA from 1 species